GACUCUGAAAAGUAGAGAUCUCGUCCCUAAAUACCUGCAAGGUUAAUAGUUCUCUUGCUGUACCCCUUUUCUGUAUGCUUUUUCUAUAUCUGAAAAAACA